GACGUAGGGCGCGAGCGUUGUCCGGAUUUAUUGGGCGUAAAGAGCUCGUAGGCGGCUCAUUGCGUCAACCGUGAAAACCAGCAGCUCAACUGUUGGCUUGCGGUUGAUACGGGUGGGCUGGAGUUCGGUAGGGGAGACUGGAAUUCCUGGUGUAGCGGUGAAAUGCGUAGAUAUCUGGAGGAACACCGGUGGCGAAGGCGGCAUCCUGGACCGGCAUUGACGCUGAGGAGCGAAAGCCAGGGGAGCAAACGGG
rnacentral:rRNA from 1 species